CAAAUCAUAUCAUAACUAACUAAAGAUUUUGUUAUAAUUUCUCAUUUACCCUACACUUUCCGAUGCCAACUAUAUACAUCUCAUAUCUAUUGAGUAAAAGGAAAAUCAUUCUAAGCAGAAAAACCUAAACACAUGUUUAAGAUUACAGCUUUUACUCCUCACAAAACUCAGACCUUUUAAAAACUCAUGGCAGGUUCAAGUUAAAUGUUUACGUUCAUGGAAGUAACACACAUCGUUUGGAGGAAGUACCUUCAAGAUUGUUUUAGCCAACCAAUUGGUAUCUUAUGUUUCUAAAAGUUUGUUACAUUCCCUGCACUUUCUUCAUCUAAUAUUUUCUUGCUAUUGUCUAAUAUGCUCCGUGUUUUGAUUGAAGGGUAACAGAAUCUAUGCUACUUGAAAAAGAACUCACAUGUACCGAGUUCAACGAGUUGCAAUGUUUAUAACGAUCUCGAUCUCGCCUAACAAACGAUUUCAAUUUUUACUAUAUUUAAAAAACAAACGAUCUUAAUGUAUCUCUUUAUGAAGGUCCUGUUAAUAUUUUGCACAGAAAGAAAUCAGAUUUGGUUUGAGAAUGUAAAACAAUUAGUUUAGUAUUGUAUACUAACCAUCUUAUUGUUCAGAUACGAUCAACUGCAAUAAUCCAUAGAUAAGCAUGAUCUCCUUCCAUUCUGACACAAUUGAUGUUUGCUUUUAUUGUCGGUUUCUUCUUACAUUCUUCUUUGUCUAGGAAAAUAUAUAUCUAUCAGUAAUUCAGACGCUGUCCUGGAAAUAGAUACGGGUAAACUAAACUGAGUUAAAAUCAGUCAGCAUAAUAAACCAAGAGCCGAAGCGUUUUAGUUGAUUUGUUACCGAUCUGAGACAUGCAUGAUUUUUUUUUGGGGUUUAGUUUGCUCAUCAUGUCUAACCUUGAGGUCAAAAGCGAUAGUAUAUAGCAAUAGCUAUCUGAUUAAUUAUACAAUACUAGCCAUAUUUCUAAAGCGUAUAAUAAAUCAGAUCGUGGAGCAAAGGAUCCGGUGAAGACAAAGAGACAAGACAAAGAGACAAGACAAAAAGAGAGUUCAAUGUAAAAAAGGAAGUCAGUGGAACGAAACAACCGACGGUAACCUACUUUCUGUUUUUUUUCCGAAAAAAAACAUUGAAAAAAAACAUUUUGGGCUUGGCCAUUACAAAUGAAUGAGGUCCGCAAUGUUUGACAAUUUCUCAUGUAUUGGGCGAAAUUUUAAAAUAUAUUAUAAUAUAACUAAUUUUCAAAGCAAUACCUAAGUUUAUUUAUAUAAUACUAUAAUUUUAUCACAUUUAAUCAUAUACAAACUAUCUAAUUUUACAAUUAUACAUAAAUAUAAACAAUCAAAACAUAUAACAAAUAAUAAUAUUAUUUUAAAUCAUAUAUAAAUUGUCUUAAAAUAAAAUUUGAACUUUAUAUACAAAUUUCAAGUUCAAAUAACCAUCUCUAGAUUUAAUAAAAGACAAUUCUCUCAAAUAGUUUUUUUUUUAGGUUUUUGUCACAACAAUAGUCUUCAAAAAAUAAAACAUAUUUUAGUCAUUUUCCUCUUUAGAAAACUACUUUUGUAAAAAUAAACUAAAAAACUAUCUAAGAAAAUUUCACUUUAAUAAAAUAUAAAGUAUAUUUAGAACUUUAAUAUGCUUCGUUUUAGUGUUAUUUUGUCAAAAUAAAAUAAGCAAGGAACUCAAGCUGUUGAAAAGAAACAAUCUCAGUAAGAUGACAAAAAAAAAUCUCAAUAAGAAAUAAGUUUAUUAGCUAAACAUUAACAAACAAGUUGAGGAAAUUCUAAAAACAUAUAAAUAUGGACAUUCUCAAAUGUUAACCAUACAAAAUUGAAAAACUAUCCGCGCGGACGCGCGGAUCCAAUCCUAGUAUAAAAUAAAAAUGAUAGUGUAUAUUUAUGAAAUCAUAAUCGUUUUAUCAACCAUUCAUAUUACUGUCUCGUGUGAAUCAUUCGUACGAGUCUGAAUGUGGGAAAUUUAUUACAGCAAUUAUUUUGUUUGUUACUUCCUCCGUUUUAUUAAGUUAGAUAUUUUAGAAAAAAAAAUUGUUUCACAAAUAUAGAAUUUUUGUAUUUUCUAUGAAAAAAUUGUGAUAUUCAAAAAAAAAUUAAUUAACUUUAUUGAAUUACUAUUGGUUAAAAAUUAUUGAAAAAUAAAAAUUACAGAAAAUAAUACAUUUAUUAUAGUGAUUUAAUAUAUUUUCUUAAUAUGUAUGAAAACACUAAAAAGUAUAUCUUUAUAAAACGGAAGGAGUAUUUUCCGGUGAAAUUAAAUUUCUCUAAUAAUGUUACCAAAACGUUUAUUUGAAUUAUUUCAUCAAUGGCUAAAUUUCAUUUGAUAUAGUUAAACAAAUGUUUUUAAUGAAUUGGUUCAAAUAAAAUAUUUCAGUUUCCAAUGACUAAGUCCAACAACUUUUUUUUAACAAUCAAAGGAUUCAUUUAAUUAAAAGAAAGUUUAUGGCUUUGGUCCCAAAUGUGAAGAGAGACAAGCUUUCCCAAAACGGUCUGCUAGCCCGUUACAAAAACGAGGGGUGAAGACAAAGCAGCAAAGGUGAAAAAUUGAGAUCAGUAGAGUAAUUAGAGAGUUGAUAUCCGAGAGAACUCAAAGAAUUCUGAUGCUUUUCAUCCCGAGGUGAUUGCCCUUACAAACACUUGAGAGUCAUUCUGAAAUAGAUGUUUGUGAAGUUGAGAGAAGAAGAGUGCAUCAAAGCUUCCAUGAUAGCAAGAGCUUCUGUCAUACAAUUAGACAUACAAGUAGAGGAGACAUGUGUCCACCAAUAACGUUAUACAGUAGAUUUUUAAAAAUAAUAUUUUUUAAUCUAUACUAUUAAAAGAGAAAUAGUCUUAAAAAAUCUACUUCUGAAAGGUUGUUUGACCCUUUCAUUAGCUAAUUAUGUUUGGUCUUAUCUUAUAUAUCUCUAACAAUAAAUUAUAAAAGAUAGCUUUG
rnacentral:lncRNA from 1 species